rnacentral:rRNA from 1 species
CCCCCAUAAAAAAACCCGCAAAAAGCGUUUGGGGGAAGAGUAGUAAGGAGGGGGGCCCCCCGGGAAAGUCCUGGGUUGCCCCC